rnacentral:tRNA from 1 species
GUUCUUGUAGUUGAAUACAACGGUAGUUUUUCGAGUUAUUAGUCCAGGUUAGAGCCCUGGUAAGAAUU